UAAAAAAUUAAAUAUUCUACUUAUUUAUGUUGUGAAUUGGCACAGCGUUUCUACAAGACACCGAAAUGUCUAACAAUAAGUAAGCGAAAAAGCUUG
rnacentral:ncRNA from 2 species